UUUAACGGCCGCGGUAUUCUAACCGUGCAAAGGUAGCGUAAUCACUUGUCUUCUAAAUAGAGACCAGUAUGAACGGCUAAAUGAGGACAAACCUGUCUCCUACAACAAAUCAGUGAAACUGAUCUCCCAGUACAAAAGCUGGGAUUAACACAUAAGACGAGAAGACCCUGUGGAGCUUUAAAACAAGCGGCCAAAACCAAUACACAAAAAUGAUCGCACGUCUUAAGUUGGGGCGACUUCGGAAAAAAACAAAACUUCCGAGAAGAACCACAAUUCUUUCAAAGGACAACAACCCAAAGAACUAACAAUAGACCCAGUAAAACUGAGCAACGAACCAAGUUACCCCAGGGAUAACAGCGCCAUCUUCUUCAAGAGUCCAUAUCGACAAGAAGGUUUACGACCUCGAUGUUGGAUCAGGACACCCAAAUGGUGCAGCAGCUAUUAAAGGUUCG
rnacentral:rRNA from 1 species